GAGAGCACAACAUUAUUUCAUAAGCCAGCUUGGCAGCCUGAGGUAAAGGUGAGAGUGGUUUUCCUCCAAGGUGAAGGCAGUACUUUCUCACCUUAAAUGCAUGUAAUAGAUUUCAUCAGAAACUGUGGUUGUUCAUAGGAGAGCGCUCUUCAGCCAGCAAGAGGAUAACCCUGAUUUCAGGUAUAGAGUCAUUUCCAGGAAGCAUACUAAACAUAUGCAUGGAGAAAAAAGGAGUCAUCUGUGGUGCCGGGGAAGGCUUCACAUUAUGUGCUGAGCAAUACUCAAUUAAUGAUGAUUCUGAUGUUUUUGCAUGAUUCCUCCCAUAUUAAUAAAAACCAGCUAUUCAAAGGAUCCCUUUGUCUCAAGAGGACUAGAAAGGAAUCUUUCACAAAGAUUUUCUCUCAGUUGUGGUAUUGCUGAUGUCAAGCAUGCAGAAAUCAUGAGUCAGCACUCCAAAAGUCACAAGAUUUUAUUAAAAAAAUAUCCUUUAAAAUAUAUAUGUGGCACUUUUUGGAGCCUUCAUGUUAAAUGUAUGACAUUCUAAUAUUUUCAUCUGCAACUGGAAAAUAUAUUUGUUGGAACAGAAGUAGAAAAAAGAAGAAACAGAUGAGCUUUUAAACAAUUUGCACAACUCCCCAGAGCUGGGUUUGAAGCAAGUUUGGAGCAUUGCAAACAUUGCAACGUAAUUGCAGGUGUUGGCAACAUGGCAAUUAUUUGUGAGAACUUUGAUCUAAAUUGAGGUCAAUAAAAACAAAUGAAAAAACUGACUGAAAGAAAACCAAAUAAACUUUCCUUCACGUUUCUGAAACUUGGGCUUCUGUAAUACCAUUUGUUCUGCAGUUCUCCAAG